GACAGAGGAUGCAAGCGUUAUCCGGAAUGAUUGGGCGUAAAGCGUCUGUAGGUGGCUUUUUAAGUCUGCCGUUCAAAUCCCAGGGCUUAACCCUGGACAGGCGGUGGAAACUACCAAGCUGGAGUACGGUAGGGGCAGAGGGAAUUUCCGGUGGAGCGGUGAAAUGCGUAGAGAUCGGAAAGAACACCAACGGCGAAGGCACUCUGCUGGGCCGACACUGACACUGAGAGACGAAAGCUAGGGGAGCAAAUGGG
rnacentral:rRNA from 1 species